AUUGAACGCUGGCGGCAGGCCUAACACAUACAAGUCGAGCGAGCGGCGGACGGGUGAGUCAUGUCUGGGCGACUGCCUGGUGGAGGGGGCUAACUACUGGAAACGGUAGCUAAUACCGCAUACCGUCACCGGUGCCCAGAUGGGAUUAGCUCGUAGGGGGGGUAACGGCUCACCUAGGCGACGAUCCCUAGCUGGUCUGAGAGGAGGACCCGCCCCACUGGAACUGAGUCACGGUCCAGACCGCUACGCGAGGCAGCAGAGUGGAAAAGUGCAUAAUGGGAGGCAGCCGGAUGCAGCCAUGCCGAUUGUGUGAAUAAGGCCUGCGGGUUGUAAAGAACUUUCAGCGGGGCGGGGUUAACCGCAGAAGAAGCAUCGGCUAAUUCCGUGACAGCAGCCGCGCUAAUAC
rnacentral:rRNA from 1 species